GCCUAACCAUAAUUUCUGUAAAAAUGGUUGGCAGAUGUGCUGUUCCUGGUUGUAAAUCAACAUAUUUCAAAGGAAAUCAAAAAGAAAACGAGGAUACCCUGUUUGCAAUUCCUAAAACUUCAUUAUCAAAAUGGCGAGAACUAAUUCCAUGGAUUGAAAUUUUGAACGUGUUCCAUCCUUACAAACGGUGGACUCUUAAUGCUGGAGCAAUGCCCUGGAAACCAACAUUUUCUGUUAAAUGAUACAUCUAGUCAACAAGUAAUGCAAAAUGUUGAUGUUUUCAAAUGGAGAAAUAAC